AGAGAGUUCUGGCGAGGGCUGCGGGAAGGAAAGGGGGCGGCGUCCUUCACAGGGAGGGUGCAGCUGACCUCCCUCCCCUUGUGCAGACUGGAAAAGAAUGGCCCAGAUCCUCUGGACUCCUCAGAUGAGCGGAUUCAGAGAGAAGCUUUUGAGAGCGUGCUGGCGGAGACAUUUUUCACAAAAGAGCCCUUGCGGUGCUGGUGUCCGUGGCGUGCCUGGAGCAAAGAUAGCAAUUCUUAAGGCCUGUUAUCUAUUAGUUACCCUUGCCUUGGCGGCAGACACAGCUGAGUCCUAACGCAGACUUUUCCAUAUCCCCUCUCCCGCCUCAACAGUGAUCUCUCCUCCCACUUCGAGAGUUAAUUCAGUGCUGCUUUAGCUUUACGCCCCCAUGAAAACAGGAAAACGGUUUGCAGCUUUAUCAUAACCUUGCUUAUGUCUGUUGUUGUAUGUCUCAAAUACCCUGUCCUCAGGAAGGCCCACCAACGCUGGCCGGCCUCCAAGCACCCGGGCCUCUGCUCAUGUACAGCUCCUGAACUGCCCUGCCUCUGAGUUACGGUGGAAAAUGAGCUUAUAUAUGAAGAAGUCAGCGAGUGGACAAAGCCAGGCGCAAUGGAUAGCAAAGAUGUGGAAGUCUCCUCGAUUCAAGUUACAAGAAAACCGCAGCAUGGAGUCUGCUCUCAGCUGUUGGGGAAUUACCGAUGCCUUUGACUAAGUCAAGACUGACUUUUCCAGAAUAUCACCCAAGAGAUAGAGCCGUCCCUGUCCAAGUUUGUGCGCUAGCCCUUCAUGGAGGUCAGAGAGGAAGAAACAAAGGCAGCUGUGGCCUCGGCGGUCACAGUGUCAGAACGCACAAGCCCCAUAAAGAGGUUUCACGCAGGCCACCCAUCCCUUUUCAUUCUCCAGCAGAACAGGACAGAGAGCGUUCUGUUCUGCGGAAGGUCUUCCACUCUACAAGGCAAUCCCUCCAGCUGCUUUGCUGUAUUGUGCUGUCUCCUGUCACACUAUGAAUGCAGUGACCUCAGCCAGCAACAGGGAGAACCCCCCUGCCUCCCGAACAAAGGACCUCACGUGAAAUCCUGAGCUCAGAGCUUACAGAUAUGUGUGCGCUUUCACUUUACAUCGGCCGUGACUUCCAAACAACUUCAGGAAACUUUAGGAUCUCUGAGGUAUACUGGAGAUGACAGCAGCGUAGAAUGUUCAUUUGGAUUUAGAACAGAAAUGCUUAUUUUAUAUUUGGCUGCUCCCAAACUGUCCCCAGACUUCCUCUCCAGUGGUUACCCUCCACUGCCCUGGAUGUCCCACGUUUACACUCCACACUCACACCUCCACCUUAACAAAGUCCUCCACUGGGUCAAACCAUACAUCGCUUCGUCUCUGUAGUGAUGACUUCCUGUCCUCUGCUCUGUGGAUAAAGACCCCAGAUAAAGAUGCCUGUGUUGCUCAACUCUUGUAAAUACUCUUGAGACAUUUUGAAAGCAGAAGGAAAGGAGACAGACGGGGAAAAUAAAAGGGAUGGUCUGCUUGUGCGGAAACGUUUUGAGAAUGCCCUUCCCUAAGAGAGAACAGUAAAAGUGAGCAAUACUUCCUG
rnacentral:lncRNA from 1 species